GAUGAACGCUGGCGGCGUGCCUAAUACAUGCCAGUCGAACACUGAAGGCGGAGCUUGCUCUUCUGGAUGAGUUGCGAACGGGUGAGUAACGCGUAGGUAACCUGCCUGGUAGCGGGGGAUAACUAUUGGAAACGAUAGCUAAUACCGCAUGACAACAGUUAUUGCAUGAUAACUGUUUAAAAGGGGCAACUGCUCCACUACCAGAUGGACCUGCGUUGUCUUAGCUAGUUGGUGAGGUAACGGCUCACCAAGGCGACGAUACCUAGCCGACCUGAGAGGGUGAUAGGCCGGACUGGGAGAGGGACACGGCCCAGACGCCUACGGGAAGGAGCAGUAGGGAAUCUUGGGAAAGGGACGGGAGUCUGACCAAGAAACGCCGCGUGAGGAAAGAAGGAUAUCGGAUCGGAAAGCUCUGUUGUAAGAGAAGAACGAGAGUGAGAGUGGAAAGUUCAAACUGUGACGGUAGCUUACCAGAAAGGGACGGCUAACUACGUG
rnacentral:rRNA from 1 species